UUAAGCGACUAAGCGUACACGGUGGAUGCCCUGGCAGUCAGAGGCGAUGAAGGACGUGCUAAUCUGCGAAAAGCGUCGGUAAGGUGAUAUGAACCGUUAUAACCGGCGAUGUCCGAAUGGGGAAACCCAGUGUGAUUCGUCACACUAUCGUUAACUGAAUACAUAGGUUAACGAGGCGAACCGGGGGAACUGAAACAUCUAAGUACCCCGAGGAAAAGAAAUCAACCGAGAUUCCCCCAGUAGCGGCGAGCGAACGGGGAGCAGCCCAGAGUCUGAAUCAGCUUGUGUGUUAGUGGAACGGUCUGGAAAGUCCGACGGUACAGGGUGAUAGUCCCGUACACCAAAAUGCACAGGCUGUGAACUCGAAGAGUAGGGCGGGACACGUGGUAUCCUGUCUGAAUAUGGGGGGACCAUCCUCCAAGGCUAAAUACUCCUGACUGACCGAUAGUGAACCAGUACCGUGAGGGAAAGGCGAAAAGAACCCCGGCGAGGGGAGUGAAAAAGAACCUGAAACCGUGUACGUACAAGCAGUGGGAGCACCUUCGGGUGUGACUGCGUACCUUUUGUAUAAUGGGUCAGCGACUUAUAUUCUGUAGCAAGGUUAACCGUAUAGGGGAGCCGCAGGGAAACCGAGUCUUAACUGGGCGUUAAGUUGCAGGGUAUAGACCCGAAACCCGGUGAUCUAGCCAUGGGCAGGUUGAAGGUUGGGUAACACUAACUGGAGGACCGAACCGACUAAUGUUGAAAAAUUAGCGGAUGACUUGUGGCUGGGGGUGAAAGGCCAAUCAAACCGGGAGAUAGCUGGUUCUCCCCGAAAGCUAUUUAGGUAGCGCCUCGUGAACUCAUCUUCGGGGGUAGAGCACUGUUUCGGCUAGGGGGUCAUCCCGACUUACCAACCCGAUGCAAACUACGAAUACCGAAGAAUGUUAUCACGGGAGACACACGGCGGGUGCUAACGUCCGUCGUGAAGAGGGAAACAACCCAGACCGCCAGCUAAGGUCCCAAAGUCAUGGUUAAGUGGGAAACGAUGUGGGAAGGCACAGACAGCCAGGAUGUUGGCUUAGAAGCAGCCAUCAUUUAAAGAAAGCGUAAUAGCUCACUGGUCGAGUCGGCCUGCGCGGAAGAUGUAACGGGGCUAAACCAUGCACCGAAGCUGCGGCAGCGACACUAUGUGUUGUUGGGUAGGGGAGCGUUCUGUAAGCCUGCGAAGGUGACCUGUGAGGGUUGCUGGAGGUAUCAGAAGUGCGAAUGCUGACAUAAGUAACGAUAAAGCGGGUGAAAAGCCCGCUCGCCGGAAGACCAAGGGUUCCUGUCCAACGUUAAUCGGGGCAGGGUGAGUCGACCCCUAAGGCGAGGCCGAAAGGCGUAGUCGAUGGGAAACAGGUUAAUAUUCCUGUACUUGGUGUUACUGCGAAGGGGGGACGGAGAAGGCUAUGUUAGCCGGGCGACGGUUGUCCCGGUUUAAGCAUGUAGGCUGAUUGUCCAGGCAAAUCCGGAUAAUCAAGGCUGAGGUGUGAUGACGAGGCACUACGGUGCUGAAGUAACAAAUGCCCUGCUUCCAGGAAAAGCCUCUAAGCAUCAGGUAACAUCAAAUCGUACCCCAAACCGACACAGGUGGUCAGGUAGAGAAUACCAAGGCGCUUGAGAGAACUCGGGUGAAGGAACUAGGCAAAAUGGUGCCGUAACUUCGGGAGAAGGCACGCUGGUGUGUAGGUGAAGNNNNNNNNNNNUGGAGCUGAGACCAGUCGAAGAUACCAGCUGGCUGCAACUGUUUAUUAAAAACACAGCACUGUGCAAACACGAAAGUGGACGUAUACGGUGUGACGCCUGCCCGGUGCCGGAAGGUUAAUUGAUGGGGUUAUCCGUAAGGAGAAGCUCUUGAUCGAAGCCCCGGUAAACGGCGGCCGUAACUAUAACGGUCCUAAGGUAGCGAAAUUCCUUGUCGGGUAAGUUCCGACCUGCACGAAUGGCGUAAUGAUGGCCAGGCUGUCUCCACCCGAGACUCAGUGAAAUUGAACUCGCUGUGAAGAUGCAGUGUACCCGCGGCAAGACGGAAAGACCCCGUGAACCUUUACUAUAGCUUGACACUGAACAUUGAGCCUUGAUGUGUAGGAUAGGUGGGAGGCUUUGAAGCGUGGACGCCAGUCUGCGUGGAGCCAACCUUGAAAUACCACCCUUUAAUGUUUGAUGUUCUAACGUUGGCCCCUGACCGGGGUUGCGGACAGUGUCUGGUGGGUAGUUUGACUGGGGCGGUCUCCUCCCAAAGCGUAACGGAGGAGCACGAAGGUUAGCUAAUCCUGGUCGGACAUCAGGAGGUUAGUGCAAUGGCAUAAGCUAGCUUGACUGCGAGCGUGACGGCGCGAGCAGGUGCGAAAGCAGGUCAUAGUGAUCCGGUGGUUCUGAAUGGAAGGGCCAUCGCUCAACGGAUAAAAGGUACUCCGGGGAUAACAGGCUGAUACCGCCCAAGAGUUCAUAUCGACGGCGGUGUUUGGCACCUCGAUGUCGGCUCAUCACAUCCUGGGGCUGAAGUAGGUCCCAAGGGUAUGGCUGUUCGCCAUUUAAAGUGGUACGCGAGCUGGGUUUAGAACGUCGUGAGACAGUUCGGUCCCUAUCUGCCGUGGGCGCUGGAGAAUUGAGGGGGGCUGCUCCUAGUACGAGAGGACCGGAGUGGACGCAUCACUGGUGUUCGGGUUGUCAUGCCAAUGGCACUGCCCGGUAGCUAAAUGCGGAAGAGAUAAGUGCUGAAAGCAUCUAAGCACGAAACUUGCCCCGAGAUGAGUUCUCCCUGAGACUUUAAGUCUCCUGAAGGAACGUUAAAGACGAUGACGUUGAUAGGCCGGGUGUGUAAGCGCAGCGAUGCGUUGAGCUAACCGGUACUAAUGAACCGUGAGGCUUAACCUU
rnacentral:rRNA from 1 species